rnacentral:rRNA from 1 species
CAGCCGCCGCGGUAAUGCGUAGGGGGCAAGCGUUGUCCGGAAUUAUUGGGCGUAAAGCGCGCGCAGGCGGUUUUUUAAGUCUGGUGUCUAAGUGCGGGGCUCAACCCCGUGACGCACUGGAAACUGGGAGACUUGAGUGCAGAAGAGGAGAGCGGAAUUCCACGUGUAGCGGUGAAAUGCGUAGAGAUGUGGAGGAACACCUGUGGCGAAAGCGGCUCACUGGACCAUUUCUGACGCUGAUGCACGAAAGCUAGGGGAGCAAACAGGAUUAGAUACCCCGGUAGUCCCUGUCUCUUAUACA